UCACCGCCUCUGGAGGUACUGCAGGAAGUAGUAGUAGGGCAGAAUAUCAGGGAUGUCAGAGAGUGAAACAGGCGGGCCCAGUGUCUUACCUCAUACUCAUAGCAGGCACACUGAGGGAGUGGCCCAAGGAGGGGCUGGUGUUUCAGAGAGCAGAAAGAGAGACAAAGAGAGAUGAGUAAGAGCAGUACAGCAUGUAGUAGGGCAGGCCUACAGCAGUACAGCAUGUAGUAGGGCAGGUAUACAGCAGUACAGCAUGUAGUAGGGCAGGCCUACAGCAGUACAGCAUGUAGUAGGGUAGGCCUACAGCAGUACAGCAUGUAGUAGGGCAGGCCUACAGCAGUACAGCAUGUAGUAGGGCAGGCCUACAGCAGUACAGUAUGUAGUAGGGCAGGUCUACACCAGUACAGCAUGUAGUAGGGCAGGUCUACAGCAGUACAGCAUGUAGUAGGGCAGGCCUACAGCAGUACAGCAUGUAGUAGGGCAGGUCUACAGCAUUACAGCAUGUUGUAGGGCAGGUAUACAGCAGUACAGCAUGUAGUAGGGCAGGUAUACAGCAGUACAGUAUGUAUGUAGUAGGGCAGGUCUACAGCAGUACAGCAUGUAGUAGGGCAGGUCUACAGCAGUACAGCAUGUAGUAGGGCAGGUCUACACCAGUACAGCAUGUAGUAGGGUAGGUCUACAGCAGUACAGCAUGUAGUAGGGCAGGUCUACACCAGUACAGCAUGUAGUAGGGCAGGCCUACAGCAGUACAGCAUGUAGUAGGGCAGGUCUACACCAGUACAGCUUGUAGUAGGGUAGGCCUACAGCAGUACAGCAUGUAGUAGGGCAGGUCUACAGCAGUACAGCAUGUAGUAGGGCAGGUCUACAGCAGUACAGCAUGUAGUAGGGCAGGCCUACAGCAGUACAGCAUGUAGUAGGGCAGGUCUACAGCAGUACAGCAUGUAGUAGGGCAGGUCUACACCAGUACAGCAUGUAGUAGGGCAGGUCUACAGCAGUACAGCAUGUAGUAGGGCAGGCCUACAGAGGUACAGCAUGUAGUAGGGCAGGUCUACACCAGUACAGCAUGUAGUAGGGUAGGCCUACAGCAGUACAGCAUGUAGUAGGGCAGGCCUACAGCAGUACAGCAUGUAGUAGGGCAGGUCUACAGCAGUACAGCAUGUAGUAGGGCAGGUCUACAGCAGUACAGCAUGUAGUAGGGUAGGCCUACAGCAGUACAGCAUGUAGUAGGGCAGGUCUACACCAGUACAGCAUGUUGUAGGGCAGGUAUACACCAGUACAGCAUGUAGUAGGGCAGGCCUACAGCAGUUCAGCAUGUAGUAGGGCAGGUCUACACCAGUACAGCAUGUAGUAGGGCAGGCCUACAGCAGUACAGCAUGUAGUAGGGCAGGUCUACAGCAGUACAGCAUGUAGUAGGGCAGGUAUACACCAGUACAGCAUGUUGUAGGGCAGGCCUACAGCAGUACAGCAUGUAGUAGGGCAGGUCUACACCAGUACAGCAUGUAAUAGGGCAGGCCUACAGCAGUACAGUAUGUAGUAGGGCAGGUCUACAGCAGUACAGCAUGUAGUAGGGCAGGCCUACAGAGGUACAGCAUGUAGUAGGGCAGGUCUACACCAGUACAGCAUGUAGUAGGGUAGGCCUACAGCAGUACAGCAUGUAGUAGGGCAGGCCUACAGCAGUACAGCAUGUAGUAGGGCAGGUCUACAGCAGUACAGCAUGUGGUCCUUCUGUAGCUCAGUUGGUAGAGCAUGGUGCUUGUAAAGCCAGGGUAGUGGGUUUGAUUCCCGGGACCACCCAUACGUAGAAUGUAUGCACACAUGACUGUAAGUCGCUUUGGAUAAAAGCGUCUGCUAAAUGGCAUAUAUUAUUAUUAUUAUUAUUAUAGUAGGGUAGGCCUACAGCAGUACAGCAUGUAGUAGGGCAGGUCUACACCAGUACAGUAUGUUGUAGGGCAGGUAUACACCAGUACAGCAUGUAGUAGGGCAGGCCUACAGCAGUUCAGCAUGUAGUAGGGCAGGUCUACACCAGUACAGCAUGUUGUAGGGCAGGCCUACAGCAGUACAGCAUGUAGUAGGGCAGGUCUACACCAGUACAGCAUGUAGUAGGGCAGGCCUACAGCAGUACAGUAUGUAGUAUGGCAGGCCUACAGCAGUACAGCAUGUAGUAGGGCAGGCCUACAGCAGUACAGCAUGUAGUAGGGCAGGUCUACAGCAGUACAGUAUGUAGUAUGGCAGGCCUACAGCAGUACAGCAUGUAGUAGGGCAGGCCUACAGCAGUACAGCAUGUAGUAGGGCAGGUCUACAGCAGUACAGUAUGUAUUAGGGCAGGUCUACACCAGUACAGCAUGUAGUAGGGCAGGUCUACAGCAGUACAACAUGUAGUAGGGCAGGCCUACAGCAGUACAGUAUGUAUUAGGGCAGACCUACAGCAGUACAGCAUGUAGUAUGGCAGGCCUACAGCAGUACAACGUAUAGUAGGGUAGGCCUACAGCAGUACAGCAUGUAGUAGGGCAGGUCUACAGCAUGUAUUAGGUCAGGUCUACAGCAGUACAGCAUGUAGUGGGGAAGGUCUACAGCAUGUAUUAGGUCAGGUCUACAGCAGUACAGCAUGUAGUAGGGCAGGUCUACAGCAGUACAGCAUGUAGUAGGGCAGGUCUACAGCAGUACAGCAUGUUGUAGGGUAGGCCUACAGCAGUACAGCAUGUAGUAGGGCAGGUCUACACCAGUACAGCAUGUUGUAGGGCAGGUAUACACCAGUACAGCAUGUAGUAGGGCAGGCCUACAGCAGUUCAGCAUGUAGUAGGGCAGGUCUACACCAGUACAGCAUGUAGUAGGGCAGGCCUACAGCAGUACAGCAUGUAGUAGGGCAGGUCUACAGCAGUACAGCAUGUAGUAGGGCAGGUAUACACCAGUACAGCAUGUUGUAGGGCAGGCCUACAGCAGUACAGCAUGUAGUAGGGUAGGCCUACAGCAGUACAGCAUGUAGUAGGGCAGGCCUACAGCAGUACAGCAUGUAGUAGGGCAGGUCUACAGCAGUACAGCAUGUAGUAGGGUAGGCCUACAGCAGUACAGCAUGUAGUAGGGCAGGUCUACACCAGUACAGCAUGUAGUAGGGCAGGCCUACAGCAGUUCAGCAUGUAGUAGGGCAGGUCUACACCAGUACAGCAUGUUGUAGGGCAGGCCUACAGCAGUACAGCAUGUAGUAGGGCAGGUCUACACCAGUACAGCAUGUAGUAGGGCAGGCCUACAGCAGUACAGUAUGUAGUAUGGCAGGCCUACAGCAGUACAGCAUGUAGUAGGGCAGGCCUACAGCAGUACAGCAUGUAGUAGGGCAGGUCUACAGCAGUACAGUAUGUAGUAUGGCAGGCCUACAGCAGUACAGCAUGUAGUAGGGCAGGCCUACAGCAGUACAGCAUGUAGUAGGGCAGGUCUACAGCAGUACAGUAUGUAUUAGGGCAGGUCUACACCAGUACAGCAUGUAGUAGGGCAGGUCUACAGCAGUACAACAUGUAGUAGGGCAGGCCUACAGCAGUACAGUAUGUAUUAGGGCAGACCUACAGCAGUACAGCAUGUAGUAUGGCAGGCCUACAGCAGUACAACGUAUAGUAGGGUAGGCCUACAGCAGUACAGCAUGUAGUAGGGCAGGUCUACAGCAUGUAUUAGGUCAGGUCUACAGCAGUACAGCAUGUAGUGGGGAAGGUCUACAGCAUGUAUUAGGUCAGGUCUACAGCAGUACAGCAUGUAUUAGGUCAGGUCUACAGCAGUACAGCAUGUAGUGGGGAAGGUCUACAGCAUGUAUUAGGUCAGGUCUACAGCAGUACAGCAUGUAUUAGGUCAGGUCUACAGCAGUACAGCAUGUAUUAGGUCAGGUCUACAGCAGUACAGUAUGUAGUGGGGAAGGUCUACAGCAUGUAGUAGGGCAGGCCUACAAUAGUACAGCAUGUGAGCAAGAACAAUAGAUAAUAUCAGUAGCAGCUUAAUUAGGUGAAGGGUGAAAGGUCAGCAACAUUAACAUGCAUCCAUCAGCAGUUCACUCAGGUCUAAACGAAUGCAACACUUCACCCAGUAGUUAGUUAUAGUUAACUAGUUAGUUAGUUUAUGUAGAUCACUCAGGUCUAAGGUAACAUAGUAUUGCAGGGCCGAGGAGCCUGGACCCCGAGGCUAAAGCUAAUGCAACAGUCUGAGAAUACAUCACAUUGAAAUCAAGAUGUUUUAUCAUCACAAAGCUUCAGAGGUGAGACAAUCUGGUGCAGUAGGCUGGAGUCCAAGGCACUCCUACUA